AGCCCUGAGGAAUUCCGGGAGUGGAGCCGACUUGGAAACUCAAGGCCAAUCUCAGGUUGAGACAUGGCCCUGACAUUCUCCAGCUUUCAUGGUGUUCCUGCAAUCCAAGUGCCGCUUAUCUCUCUACAGGGCUGGAAGAAAGCCAUACUUCUGACUCCAGGAAGUGCUUUGGUGGAGCUGGACCGGCUUCUGAGCUGUCUGUGGCGUCCACCAGAUGACCGGCUGGCCUCCUAAUUGGGCUUCCUGCAUUCCUGCCUGUGCUCGGAGCUCCCUUCUCCACUUGCCUGCUGGAGGAGGUUUACAAACAAAAUCAGAUCAUGGCACUCCCCUGGGGCCCUGCAUCCUGUGGCCAGCAGGUCUUGGAAACGCCCCUGUACCCCAGAAACUUCCUGAUCAGUCCCUGGUCAGUGUAUAUCAUGCUUCCUGUGACAUGACAUCAACUUUUCAGUGACUUCCACUGGUUUUGGCCCAGCUCGAAGAGCCUGACACCUCUGCAGGGAAUUCUACCAGGGAGCUCAGGAGGGGGAAUUGCACUGAAGAUUUGUCCCAUCGUGAAGCAAGAGCACUGGAACUUACACUCCACCAUCAGGCCCUGUCACAGGAGAACAAAGAAGGAAGGCAGAGGAGAUCAUGCUCCGGCCAGCAGGGAAUCUCCAUUUUUUUCAGCCUCAUACCUUGGAAAGUACAAAGGAGUGAGAGCUGGGACUACCAGCCAGAGGGUUCAUGGAGGUAGUGGGAGGGGAAGAUGGGUUCUGCAUGGAGCCACUCCAGGGACUUUUCUUCUGUCUCACAGCCUGACAAUCACCUCUAGCUGUUCUCAGUCCCAUUCUCAUCAAUGACCUCGUCUCCUGAUUUUGUACAAUAUCUAGGUGACCUUCUCUUCUUUCCAUCUUCAAACGCUUGAUCAUUGAUGCUCCCUUUUCUCUUCUCUCUCCUCCUGGGAAAAGAGAAGGACCAACAUCCCCCUUUCCCUUCCUCCUGUGCUGUCCCGACCCCUCUGAGACCUGGCUCUAGCAGUAAGUCCCUCUCUCUUCUGCAGCACCAGCCUCUGCCCAUCCCUGCCCUCUGCACACAAAGCUCUCACAUUGUCUGCACUUUAAGAACUUUUGUGGCAAACCCUGGCAAAUCCUGCCACUUGUUUCCACUCUUCUCAAAUGGCUUUGAGGUCAUCAUUGACCUAUCCCAUUUGACCCUGUCCUGUAUCUGAUGUUGUACCCUUUCUCCUUGAUCCCACUCUGGCAACUCUCCCACUCCCCUUUCUUGGAUCAACUGUCUUGCUCCUCAGUCUUGAUCAAUGCCUCCUUCUCUCUCUUUAGCCUUGGCCCUUUUUGGCCAGGGAAAUAAAUGUGAAAUACAUAAAGCUUCAUUUUAUCUUAUGAUUAUAGCUAUGUUGAUGUUACCCAAGACCUAAAAGUCACACUCUCUAAUUACACUUCCCUCCUGUGUUCUGGGUCCUCUUGGACCAGUCCUUACUCUGGCUCCCCUCCUGGAUGUCUCCCAGACUUCUAAUUAGAAUUACUGUUUCCUAUAUCAAGCUAAUUAUCUUUCCCACCAACCUCCUCCAUCCUUGGGUGAAAGCAUCACUUGGUUGCAAAAGUCAGAAAUCUGGGUUUCAUUCUUGCGGUAGGUAGAAUAAUGCCCCCAGGCCCCAGGUUUUGACAUCCGAAUCCCUGGGACUUUGCAGAUGUGAUUCAGUUUAGGAUUUUGAGAUGGGGAGAUUAUCUGGGAGAGCCUGAUGUCAUCAUAAGGUUCUUAUAAGAGGGAGGCAGGAGGGUUAGAGUGAGUAGUAAGAGAUGCAACAGUGGAAGCAAGAGGUUGGGGUGAUGUGGCCACAAGCCCAGGAGUGCUGACAGACAUCAGAAGCUGGAAGGGACAAGGAAUGGUUUCUCCUCUGGAGCCUCCAGAAAGAACCAGCCCUGCUGACACCUUGAUUUUAGCCUUGGAAGACUCAUUUUGGACUUCUGACCUUGAACGUUGUAAGAGAAUAAAUUUACAUAUUUUAAACUGGUAUGUUUAUGGUAAUUUUUUAACAGAAGCCGUAGGAAAGGAAUCCGAUCCUGAUGCUGUUUCUCCAUCACUAGCUGCACUCAUUUGGCCCCUAGUCCAAUCAAUUUUAUCUCCAAAAUACCUUUCAGGUUAGCUCCUCCUUUCUGCCUCAAGCCUAUGUAAUCAUUAUUUCUCCUAAGAGGUCCUGCAAUGAUCUUUUAACUGAUCACCCUAUUAUUCCGUGCCAUCCCUGUCACUGUGUCAAGAGUUAGGAUCUGAUCUGCAUUUCAUGAAAAUGAUAGUCCUCUCUCCACAACUUUGCAGGCUAAAGCAGGGAGUUUAAUUACUCAGGCUAUGGGGGGCCCUGGAAUGUGCUCUAUGACCAGUCACUAGCCUCUCUCUCCUGCCCAGAUCCCUACCUCACACCCUACCAUUUAGGCAAUGGGGGUAAUGGCAGUGGGCACUUUGUCCAUGUGGUUUCAUCACCCUGACAUACUCUCCUGUGACUUCUACCAACCCUUCAAGAGUCUGCACCUUCUUUGGGCCUCAGCUUUCUCAUCUGUACCAUCAAGGGGCUUAUCCAGAUGAGCUCAAAGCUCUAUGGAACUCCUCAGCCUGAAUAAUUGAACAGAGUAGAUUUCAUUCACC
rnacentral:lncRNA from 1 species